UACUUCAUUGAAUUGGAUACA
ensembl:piRNA 21ur-4159 ncRNA